UGGGGGAUAACGUCCGGAAACGGGCGCUAAUACCGCAUACGUCCUGAGGGAGAAAGUGGGGGAUCUUCGGACCUCACGCUAUCAGAUGAGCCUAGGUCGGAUUAGCUAGUUGGUGGGGUAAAGGCCUACCAAGGCGACGAUCCGUAACUGGUCUGAGAGGAUGAUCAGUCACACUGGAACUGAGACACGGUCCAGACUCCUACGGGAGGCAGCAGUGGGGAAUAUUGGACAAUGGGCGAAAGCCUGAUCCAGCCAUGCCGCGUGUGUGAAGAAGGUCUUCGGAUUGUAAAGCACUUUAAGUUGGGAGGAAGGGCAGUA
rnacentral:rRNA from 1 species